GCUUCCUCCUGAGACACGAGGAUGACGCCCACCAAGGCAAAUGCAGCUCGGAGGAGGGCGAGCGAGCGAGGGCGAGAGGGCCGGGAGCGAGGAACGAGCGUGCGAGUUGGCAACGCAAGUGAGCGGCGACAGAAAUAUAUGCCACUCGCCGCCCGGCCAGAGUUCAGUACGAUUGGUGGCAGGUGUUGUUGAGGGUGGCCGUACGACUCCCGGUGCUCGGCCGAUCCCACGUGUGUCGCUUUUCGAGGAAAUUCUCUCGUUGGUUGGGCCUCUGCGCGUGUCCCUCUGCGUGGCGGGAGGGCCCAGUAGGAGUCCGAAUCGCAGGCGUCGGGGAUCGAACGGGGAUGAGACACCUCGCUGCGACGCCCAUACAAACGCGCCGAAAUAAGUUGUUAAAAGUAAGUUAGAGUGUAGGAGAGAGAGAGAGAGAGAAAGGGAUAGCAGUGCCCUUCUGAGAGUCAGAAAGUGUGCCAUCUGUAUGUCAGCUUGGCAAUUUUCCCGAGUGUCUGACAAGGAAUACGACCUGGGGUUUAGUCUUUUUAAACGUAGAUUGAAAAGCGAAGAAAAAAAAAGUCACAGCUUCUGAACUGUGUGUGUGAGUGCACGAUUCACUUGAAAAUUUAAAGAGUCACAGUCAGCUAAUCUUGCUGAAAACGAUAUACAGAAAAGAGAUACAUAAUUGUCAAGCAUAUAAUCAGUUCUAUAGGCGCAUAUUUUCAACUGCAUGUCAGGAAGACGUGAGGGCAGUCUUGUACCCAUUACGGCACGACGCUAGUCCUGGCAAGUUCAGAAAGUGACAAGUGUUGAUUGAGGUGGAAAAUAAGUGCGUAAUAGAGAGCGAAAGUGGGAAAAAUAAGACGAGAGAAGAGAGGGAAAUACGUGGAAAGAUCGUUGGCAGAGAACACAAAACUGCUUUCGUGGGAGAUAUAAAUCUGUUCUUCAGAGCACCACUUCGGACACGACUGAAACAUCUGGCCAGGACGAAAAAGAGACAAUAAGAAGCCGAAGAAAAACCCAAAAGAAGGGACAAGGCGUUGUGAAAAGUCUACGGGAUCUGUUCGCCGGUUUUCAGUAUCCGCGCAGUGAAGGUUGGCGAAGACCCAGGUUGUAGGCGAGGAGGAGGAGGCCAUGGGCGAACACGGGCGGUGCUUCUGGAGACUGUGGGCGUGGGACGGGGGCGGCGACGGGGGAGGGAGGGAGGACACCCGCCCAGCGCCCCCUCUCCCCUCCAAGUCCCACUCGCCCCGUCUCCCCCCCAAGUCCCACUCGCCCCGUCUCGCCCCCAAGUCUGACCUCCCCCGCCUCCCCGCCCUGCUCCUGGUGGCGGUGGCGGUGGCGGCGUCGUGUCCGCGGGCGGCGGGGGCGCUCUCCCUGCUGCCCAACACGACGGCGCUCGAGAAGUGGACGGAGAGGAGCAACAACUGCAUCAACUACGACACGAACGCGAUCUGGCCGCGAUGAGGAGCCAGGCCGCAACAGCCUCCUGGGUUCCUGCGACGAUCACGGGCGAGCGAAAGGAGCGACUCGGCUUGAAGGUGAUCGGAGCCUUCGCCUACUCCUCGACGAGCGAUCAACAAAACUUC
rnacentral:lncRNA from 1 species